AAGACUACAAUUAUUAUGAGUGAAUAAACAUAUCCUUUCUACAAUGCUCAUAGUCGAAGUGCCAACGUCAUCCAUGUAUUCCGAACAACCCAGAUAUUCCAAUUUUGGAAAACUGGUUUGGUAAAGGUUCUAGUCAAAGUGUGCCCUACGUAACUCAAGAUUAGCCUUAUGAAAAUCUUAUAUUCCUUUAGCAGUGGUCCGUUAACAGGCUCGUUCUGAUCUUAGACGCAGUAUAUUGGAAUCCUGAAACACCACCAAGAACGCAACCAAGUGUCCGACUCUAAGAUCAUUAAACCCCUCUUUCUCAAUGACUCGCUGCAAAAGUACUUACCGUUGGAAUGGAUCAGUGGAUCAAAGCUACCUUGCUUUGCAUGUGCUCAUAACCAUUCAUGUAACAUGAUCGUUUACACUCAACCUUCGUCACACUCUCUCGCUCACUAGCUGGAUGUUGGUUCAGCCUACAAGAAUCCCGUAUCCAGCAACUCAAGAUAUACAAAAGGCAUCAAAGCCCCUUGUAUAGUUAGGAGCUAGAAUCCCUUCGUGGAUAAGUCCAAAAACUUAGUAGCAGUGCUGAAUUUAGUUUAUCGUCUAGGGUAUCUAAUCCAUAGUUAAGGGGCAAUACAUACCAAAAAGUUCAAAAAAGAAACACACAUAAAAAUAU
rnacentral:lncRNA from 1 species